AAGAAUAUUCAUAAAUAAAUAAAAAAGUUCUGGCUGAGAGUUUUGCCCCAAAUAAAAAAUAACAGCUGAUCAACGAAUUGACUGAGACACUAUAGAAGAACACAUUUUCCCUAGAUUUCGAUGAGAGAAAGAACGGAAGAAGCAAUAAUCGAUGUAAUCAAAUCUCAACAAAUAUCUUCGAGGUCGAUUGGGAAGGUCAUAGUUCACUCACUUGUGCUUUUGAGCAUCGUAGACCACUAUAAUAGAGUCGCAAAAGACAGAAGAAUGUUGUUGCGGUUUUGCUUGGAACUUCAUUUAAAGGUCUUUGAAGCAGCUAUUGCAGCCAGGGCGAAAGAAGUAGCAGUCUUUGCAUCAACUUCAGAGUCAUUCACAAAGUCAAAAAUUAAUUGCACCAUUAAGGAGAGCCUUGUUAGAUAUCAAGUUGUUACAUCUGCUGCCAAAAAGCUUGAAAUACCUAUUCGCAAGUAAUGAAAGAUCUUAUACUUGAGUACAAGGAUAAAUAUGUAUCCUGUGCUAUUGGGUGCCCAGUUGAAGGAGUGAUUUCACCUUCAAAAGUGGCAUAUGUAGCAAAGGAACUUCAUGACAUGGUAUGUUUCAAAAUUUCCCUUGGAGACGUAAUAGGAAACGCUACUCCUGGUAAUAUUCUAAAAAUUCUGUUUUCUUGAUUUCCUAUGUUUGUUUAGUUCAUGGUAGGUUCUAUGAUUACCCCAAAGUGUCGCGUUUUCGUGAAUUUUCACAAAUAUCAAUGUCAUCUUCCCCUGCCCCUGCUCCUGCUCCUGCUCUUGCUUCUACCCCUUCCCCUACACCUAAGGGUGAUCCAGAAAAUGACAAUGUGAAGAGUAUAAAAGUUUUAUGGCUCUCUUACUGCUCGUGUUCCUUCAAUUUUUUAUAUCUUCACUAUAGAUGAAUUUUGGUUCUCAGAAUAUUACGGAUAAUUAUAGGCGAUUUGUUUUUAACAUUAAGAAAUAAGGCAACAUUCUACUUGUUUUUCUUAAAUCUUCAGGAUUGAUGAACUCCUAUUCUCUAAAGAUUUUAAAGUAUUACCGUAAUCUUUGUUGUUCCUCUGCACUUGCUUAUGACGUUAGUAAUAAUCAGUUAAAAAAACUGGAGUAUCAUUUUGUGUCGAGUUUUUUAUUGAAGUGUGGCUCCCUAUUCAUUCUUAGAGGUUGUUUUGAAUGAAAGUAGCAUAGUAAGUGAAUGAGAUGGAUAAAUUGGUUUCGUGCAAUUUCAAAUUUCAGCUUCUGAUUCCAGCACUAUGAAGGGCCCUUUUCCUGUGAUUGAUUAAUUUUUACUGAUGAUAUAUGUGUAUUUUAAUUUUUCCAUUGUCAUUUUUUUCUCUACUAUUGGAUGCUACUUGCACAUGUUCUGGGAAGUGGGAGGGUUUUUCAAAUUCUUUUAUUUUGUAGCAUGUUUACUCUGGCUUAACCUCACACCACCAUGGAGAGGGGUACAUGAUCAAUGACUUGUAAAUUUUCUUUCAUGUUGCUGAACUGUUCUUCAAGUCGUUCUUAGUUUGUACAUCUUUUGUUUAUGCAGAAUCAAAGGCUCUUACUAUUGAUGAUUUAUGCCUUUUCCUUCAGGGCUUCUGUUGGCUUUCUUACAAAAUAUCUCUUUGAAAUCUAUCAAAAGGGAACUUGACAUGCUAGCCUUGCUAACAAUUUAAUGCUUAUUGACAUAUUGUGAAGGUGGAGAUGUGAAAAUGAGCACAAGGAAAUCUAGAGGAGCUCUGUGCCCAGAAGAGAAACUCAGCAUAUGACUGACCAACUAUUACUCGCAGUAGAAUAUUUGCACUUUAACCGUGUUCUACACAGAGACGUGAAGGUAUAAACAGGCACUGAUUCAUUAAUGAGUUAUCCUUGUAUGACAUGUUUUAAUAUGAAGUACUUUGAUUUAUUAAUGAGCUUUCCUUGUAUGAAGAUGAUAAUGUGAAAUGAGCCUAAAUCAAGAAGUGCGGGUUCAUAUAGCCGACGGUAACUUGUUCAGCGUAGUAGAUGCUAUUGUUUUUUUGUUUAAGAAAGUAUUAGUAAGCUCUGUCUCGUUCCCUGUUAUGUUGCACUGUCACAAAAUUUUAAUCCAGCAGACACAACUGUAAGUGGCUAUGUCUUCAGUCGUAACUGCUUACUGAUAUUUGAUUUUUCAAUUCAUCUAGGUUACAGUAAGUUUAUCAAACAUACAUCCCAUAGAUGAAAAUGCUCAUGCUGUUGGAUUUGAUGACAUUACCAAAUUAACAUAUUUGCAUGAGCCUGGCAUCUUGCUGAAUUUGGCUUCAAGAUAUCAAAUCAACGAAAUCUAUGUAGGUUUAUGGUCAAAUUUCUGUAGAUAAGUGAGAGGAAGAAAUGAAUGAUUGUAUCUAUGUGCGGUUCAAUCAUAAUGUGACAUAAUGACACACUUAUACUAAAAGUAUUAUCAUUGUCAUCAAUCCAUUCCAAAAGUUUCCUCGUCAAUAUGAUCGCAACAUGAUGGAACAAUACAAGGGGGAGCACCGCUUGGCGAAUUAAUUUCUCAUGUCUUCUCUAUUGCUGAUGCUGCUUACAGUCAAAUCCAGUACUUGAAGCAUUUGGGAAUGCCAAAACAUUUAGAAAUAACAAAUCAAGCCAUUUUGGUAAAUUUAUGGAGAUUUCUUUUGCCAAAAAUUGAAGAAUGUCUGGUGCAGCUACUAGAACUUACCUCCUAGAAAGGUCUCGAGUUUGCCAAGUUUCAGAUCCGGAAUGCAACUAUCAUUGUUUCUCCCUUCUAUGUGCAGCACCCAAGGAGUUUUUUAAUCAUAGAAGGAGGUUUAAAAGUAUAGAUCGAGUUGCUUUGAACUAGUAGGUAUUAGUAGUGCUCAAGAUUAUCUGGAAACAAUGAUGGCCAUGGAUGUUGUUGGCUUUAGUGAGAAAGAGCAGUUCACAGAGGGCAAAGAAACUGAUUCAUCAAUGCUAAGAGAUGAUAAGUCUAAAUUCCAUCUUCAGAAUAUUGCAGAGCUUUCGAUGUGUGAUCUUAAGGAUUUUGAAGAUGCACUAUCAAAAUGUGUAAUGGUCACAACUGAAGAAGUAAUAAACAGAAUCUUGAUCAUGAUGCUUCAACAUAUGUAUAAAUGGGCUUUUUAAAACAUUAUAUUCUUGCUUGUUUGACUGGUAGGAAUCUAUUGUCUCAACCAGGUUGUUUGAUGUGGUUUUGGUACAGAUUAUUUGACACUAGAUGCACAGCUUUCAAUUGUUUAUAGUUUGGUGGACAAAAUAAAUAACUCAAUUGGUCAAGAUUUUAACAAUGCUCCAUUAAUUACACAAAUGAAAAGCUGCAACAACACUUUAACCAGGAAAAUGCCGCUUAUUGAACUUUAUGAAUAGAGGACAGAAGUAAACUCGGUUUGUAGUGAAUGAUAAAGAGUUUUCAUACGAUUAUCAUAAAUGUUGUUUAAACACAUUUGGUUUUGUGGAAUUUGUUGCUAUUACAGAUCUUCAAGUAAUUGCUUUCUAUAUGUAUACAUGGGACAUAUUCUCCAAGUUUAUUUAAUUUGAUAUGUA